rnacentral:rRNA from 1 species
UGGGGAAUAUUGGACAAUGGGGGCAACCCUGAUCCAGCAAUGCCGCGUGUGUGAAGAAGGCCUGCGGGUUGUAAAGCACUUUUGGCAGGGAUGAAAAGCACUGGAUUAAUAACCCAGUGUGUUGACCUAACCUGCAGAAGAAGCACCGGCUAACUCUGUGCCAGCAGCCGCGGUAAUACAGGGGGUGCGAGCGUUAAUCGGAAUUACUGGGCGUAAAGGGCGCGUAGGCGGUCGAGUAAGUCGGAUGUGAAAUCCCCGGGCUUAACCUGGGAAUUGCAUUUGAGACUGCACGGCUAGAGUGUGUCAGAGGGGGGUAGAAUUCCACGUGUAGCAGUGAAAUGCGUAGAUAUGUGGAGGAAUACCGAUGGCGAAGGCAGCCCCCUGGGAUAACACUGACGCUCAUGCACGAAAGCGUGGGGAGCAAACAGGAUUAGAUACCCACGUAGUCCCUGAGCGGGCUGGCAAGGCGCAU